AUUGAACGCUGGCGGCAGGCCUAACACAUGCAAGUCGAGCGGAUGAGAGGAGCUUGCUUCUCGAUUCAGCGGCGGACGGGUGAGUAAUGCUUAGGAAUCUGCCUGGUAGUGGGGGACAACGUUUCGAAAGGAACGCUAAUACCGCAUACGUCCUACGGGAGAAAGCAGGGGACCUUCGGGCCUUGCGCUAUCAGAUGAGCCUAGGUCGGAUGAGCUAGUUGGUGAGGUAAUGGCUCACAAAGGCGACGAUCCGUAACUGGUCUGAGAGGAUGAUCAGUCACACUGGAACUGAGACACGGUCCAGACUCCUGCGGUAGGCAGCAGUGGGGAAUAUUGGACAAUGGGCGAAAGCCUGAUACAGCCAUGCCGCGUGUGUGAAGGAGGUCUUCGGAUUGUAAAGCACUUUAAGUUGGGAGGAAGGGUACUUACCUAAUACGNGAGUAUUUUGACGUUACCGACAGAAUAAGCACCGGCUAACUCUGUGCCAGCCGCCGCCGUAAGA
rnacentral:rRNA from 1 species